rnacentral:rRNA from 1 species
UACGUAGGUGGCAAGCGUUGUCCGGAUUUACUGGGCGUAAAGAGCGCGCAGGCGGUCGUUCAAGUCGCGUGUGAAAGCCCCCGGCUCAACUGGGGAGGGUCACGCGAUACUGAUCGACUCGAAGGCAGGAGAGGGAAGUGGAAUUCCCGGUGUAGUGGUGAAAUGCGUAGAUAUCGGGAGGAACACCAGCGGCGAAGGCGACUUCCUGGCCUGUUCUUGACGCUGAGGCGCGAAAGCCAGGGGAGCGAACGGG